rnacentral:tRNA from 1 species
UGAUCUGUGGCUUAGUUUGGUGAAGCGCCGGUCUAGCGAAUACGGAGUCGUGGGUUCGAAUCCCACUAGAACGC